rnacentral:misc_RNA from 1 species
UGCCCCUCACUUGCCAAUAGKUUUAGAUCAGCCAGGGCGUCGGCAUGUGUAGCGUAUUAUGUUGGGCUCUCUCGAGAUAAGGAUACGAUGUCCCUUUAUCGGUUGGUUUCCUGUGUGCGCGGCCCGUUCGUUUUUUUGUUACUUUCGCAUCGUUCGGUGCAUUCUGGGGGCUGUGUUGGCUUUUGGUGGCUUGCUUGGCCUUUUGGCUUUGCUUGUUGCUACUUGUCGGGCUGCUUUCGGGAAUGUCGACCGUGGAGGUGCAUGAGUGGUGUUUGGUUUGUUACGUGUGGAUGGCUGUUUGCUUGUGCAACAACGUUCACGCUGCAUACCUCUUCAGUUUUGCGGCAAGGCUUGGUUUGGCUUGUGCAUAUUGUGGGUUUCCUGUGUUGCAUACCUAGUUGAUGGAAAAGUGUGGGUUUUACGAUUUUCAUUUUCGUCUUGCGUCGUUCUUUCGGCGUGGGAUGAACAAUGAAGCGAUCUUUAUGAUCCAUCGUGCUGUUGCGUUUGCAACAAUGAUGUGGCCUAUGAAGCAUCGUUUGGUCUCUUGUAUACGGAAGCUCAUUUGGGCUUGGGUCUUUAUAAGAUCUUCGUUACGCCCUUGUUAAGCGUUCUCGCUUCUCCUAAACGAUUG